CGGAGCAAUCUGCCGCUUAUGGAUGGACCUGCGUCGCAUUAGCUAGUUGGAGUGGUAAAGGCACACCAAGGCGACGAUGCGUAGCCGACCUGAGAGGGUGAGCGGCCACACUGGGACUGAGACACGGCCCAGACUCCUACGGGAGGCAGCAGUAGGGGAUCUUCCGCAAUGGACGAAAGUCUGACGGAGCAACGCCGCGUGAGUGAAGAAGGUUUUCGGAUCGUAAAGCUCUGUUGCCAGGGAAGAAGAGCAAGGAGAGGAACUGCUCCUUGAGUGACGGUACCUGAGAAGAAAGCCCGGCUAACUACGUG
rnacentral:rRNA from 1 species